CGUGGGGGGGGGCUAACACAUGCAAGUCGAGCGGAUGAAGGGAGCUUGCUCCUGGAUUCAGCGGCGGACGGGUGAGUAAUGCCUAGGAAUCUGCCUGGUAGUGGGGGACAACGUUUCGAAAGGAACGCUAAUACCGCAUACGUCCUACGGGAGAAAGCAGGGGACCUUCGGGCCUUGCGCUAUCAGAUGAGCCUAGGUCGGAUUAGCUAGUUGGUGAGGUAAUGGCUCACCAAGGCGACGAUCCGUAACUGGUCUGAGAGGAUGAUCAGUCACACUGGAACUGAGACACGGUCCAGACUCCUACGGGAGGCAGCAGUGGGGAAUAUUGGACAAUGGGCGAAAGCCUGAUCCAGCCAUGCCGCGUGUGUGAAGAAGGUCUUCGGAUUGUAAAGCACUUUAAGUUGGGAGGAAGGGUUGUAGAUUAAUACUCUGCAAUUUUGACGUUACCGACAGAAUAAGCACCGGCUAACUCUGUGCCAGCAGCCGCGGUAAUACAGAGGGUGCAAGCGUUAAUCGGAAUUACUGGGCGUAAAGCGCGCGUAGGUGGUUCGUUAAGUUGGAUGUGAAAUCCCCGGGCUCAACCUGGGAACUGCAUCCAAAACUGGCGAGCUAGAGUAUGGUAGAGGGUGGUGGAAUUUCCUGUGUAGCGGUGAAAUGCGUAGAUAUAGGAAGGAACACCAGUGGCGAAGGCGACCACCUGGACUGAUACUGACACUGAGGUGCGAAAGCGUGGGGAGCAAACAGGAUUAGAUACCCUGGUAGUCCACGCCGUAAACGAUGUCAACUAGCCGUUGGGAGCCUUGAGCUCUUAGUGGCGCAGCUAACGCAUUAAGUUGACCGCCUGGGGAGUACGGCCGCAAGGUUAAAACUCAAAUGAAUUGACGGGGGGCCCGCACAAGCGGUGGAGCAUGUGGUUUUAAUUCGAAGCAACGCGAAGAACCUUUACCAGCCUUGACAUCCAAAUGAACUUUCCAGAGAUGGAUUGGUUGCCUUCGGAACAUUGAGACAGGUGCUGCAUGGC
rnacentral:rRNA from 1 species